rnacentral:rRNA from 1 species
AGCGACCUUGCCUCGUGGUGGGGGAUAGCCGGCCCAACGGCCGGGUAAUACCGCAUAUGGUAGUUCUUUCGCAUGGGAGAACUAGCAAAGCUGAGUCGUAAGACUUGGCGCCACAGGGGGGCUCGCGGCCUAUCAGCUAGUUGGGGGGGUAAUGGCCCACCAAGGCGACGACGGGUAGCUGGUCUGAGAGGAUGGCCAGCCACAUUGGGACUGAGAGACGGCCCAG